UACGAAGGGGGCUAGCGUUGCUCGGAAUUACUGGGCGUAAAGCGCACGUAGGCGGCUUCUUAAGUCGAUGGUGAAAUCCUGGAGCUCAACUCCAGAACUGCCUUCGAUACUGGGGAGCUCGAGUUCGGGAGAGGUGAGUGGAACUGCGAGUGUAGAGGUGAAAUUCGUAGAUAUUCGCAAGAACACCAGUGGCGAAGGCGGCUCACUGGCCCGAUACUGACGCUGAGGUACGAAAGCGUGGGGAGCAAACAGG
rnacentral:rRNA from 1 species